CCUCCUCCAGCCUCUCGCUGAUCUCCUCCAGUUCUCGAGCCAAAUCUGCCCUUUGCUUCUCAACCUUGGCACGAGCAGCUCUCUCAGCCUCCAACUCUUCUUCAAGCUCUUCUAUACGGGCCUAGAGUAGAAGAUUUUAUGUCCCCAUAGAGGAUCCUGUUGGGGAAGCCCUUUCUGCAGAUUCUGAUGCCCUCCAGCACACCGUUACAGCGCAGCUGGUGCAUUACUAGAGGAUUCUCCAUGGCCCCAGGAGUCUUGGUCUCAUUGGGGAUGAUGCAGCGCACAAAAUGAGGUAUAUACUGAUUGGGAUCUAUCUGGAUACUGCAACCUCUGAACAGAGAACAAGCUAAUGAUGAAAAUGGCUUCAUGUCCAUGACCACCUGUAAAAUGUCCUAAUGCCUUUUAUGGCGCAUACCCAUCAACAGAGCAUACACACAGAGGCUGGAUGUUUGGGGAGGAUUCUUUGUCAACACAUUGUACAAGCUUUCAAGAGAGGGUCAAGGGAUGAGAGGGAUCUCUUCACUCUUCAUCAUGGCCUUUCUGGAAGAGGAAAUAAAGACAAGAGCAGAAGAUUCCCCAUAGAGGAUCCUGUUGGGGAAGCCCUUUCUGCAGAUUCUGAUGCCCUCCAGCACACCGUUACAGCGCAGCUGGUGCAUUACUAGAGGAUUCUCCAUGGCCCCAGGAGUCUUUGUCUCAUUGGGGAUGAUGCAGCGCACAAAAUGAGGUGACCCACUCAUUCCCUACUUUGACUCUGGGGUGACACAGAGACUUGAUGAGAUCGGCGGAGUUCAGGCCCAUGAGCAGAGGCCAGUUUGCCAGUGGCACCAAAGUGGAUACGGAUAAACUUGCCCUAUUGGAAAAGGCUGUGAUACCCUGAUGCUAUGACACUUACAGUGCUACAAUAUUGACAGGAGCUACAGUAACAAGUCAGCCAUCGCAUCGAUUCCUUUCUCAAAGCUGCUGGAGUGAUGACAUGGAUUUGGAUGCCCUUCUUGUAUUACCAGGUAUUUGUUCAUGUCACUGCUAGAAAUUAUUUUCAAAGUCAAUUGCCUGUUUCUUUUUUUUUGUGAGCGGUGACACUUGGGAAUGUGAAGAGCAAAUGUCUGACCUUUGGUGGCGUAAAUAUUAUUCUAAAAAACAUCUAAACAAUAUAUAUAAAUAUAUUCAGAACUGCUUUGUUUUUGGUGGCUACUAUAUAUAUAUGUGUGUGUGUGUGUGUGUGUGUGUGUGUGUUCAUUGAAAUGAAUAAUAGUACUACAGUUCUGUAGCAUGAGGAUGUGUUUAUUUUUAGAAUGAAAGGUCUAAUAGGGUGAAGUGUGAAGUAAGCCUACAUGCCUUACCAAGUGAGAGCAAUAGAGACCCUACAUGCUUUACCAAGUGAUAACAACAACAAGGCAGAGGUCAGUCCACUUAAUAGUGCAAGUGUCAGUGAUGAGUAUUAAAUCUGCUCUCCUUAACACCCUCUUUAGUUUACAGGGAAGUGUUCUGUACUUCCUUUGCCUGUCAAAGAAAUAUGAUGUAACUUUCAUGAGUCAUCCCAAGAGAACUAGGAAAUACCUGACCAGAACAAGCAUUCAAAUCAAUUACACUGUUGACCUACUGGAUUAACAAGAAUGAAGGAGUAGGGGUGUUUCGCUUGUGACAAAAGGCAAGCAUUUUAUUUUUCUUUGGGAGAAGUAGCCAAAACCUGACAUGAUCCACACCUCCUCUAACUUCAACGGUAAAAAUGACACAAGUAUGUCACAUGCUGUAUGUUAAAUAUUUGCAUACUUAUUUACAGAACAUGACAAUUUCCUGCUAAUCAUUUACUGCUGUUUUAUAUUUCUCAAUAAAAAAAAACACAAAAAGUCAGCGGAUGAGCCAGCUAUUUUUUAUUGUUUAUUAUUUUAUUAUUAUUAUUAUUAUUAUUAUUAUUAUUAUUAUUAUUAUUAU